rnacentral:rRNA from 1 species
AAUACAUGCAAGUCGAACGAUAUUAAGGGGCUUGCUCCUUAAGAAAGUGGCGCACGGGUGCGUAACGCGUAUGCAACCUACCUUUAUCAGGGGGAUAGCCCGGAGAAAUCCGGAUUAACACCGCAUAACAUCAGGGGAUCGCAUGGUUUUCUGAUCAAAUAUUUAUAGGAUAAAGAUGGGCAUGCGUGUCAUUAGCUAGUUGGCGGGGUAAUGGCCCACCAAGGCGACGAUGACUAGGGGAUCUGAGAGGAUGGCCCCCCACACUGGUACUGAGACACGGACCAGACUCCUACGGGAGGCAGCAGUAAGGAAUAUUGGUCAAUGGGCGGAAGCCUGAACCAGCCAUGCCGCGUGCAGGAAGACUGCCCUAUGGGUUGUAAACUGCUUUUAUCCGGGAAUAAACCUACUUACGUGUAAGUAGCUGAAUGUACCGGAAGAAUAAGGAUCGGCUAACUCCGUGCCAGCAGCCGCGGUAAUACGGAGGAUCCAAGCGUUAUCCGGAUUUAUUGGGUUUAAAGGGUGCGUAGGCGGCCUAUUAAGUCAGGGGUGAAAGACGGUAGCUCAACUAUCGCAGUGCCCUUGAUACUGAUGGGCUUGAAUGGACUAGAGNGUAGGCGGAAUGAGACAAGUAGCGGUGAAAUGCAUAGAUAUGUCUCAGAACACCGAUUGCGAAGGCAGCUUACUAUGGUCUUAUUGACGCUGAGGCACGAAAGCGUGGGGAUCAAACAGGAUUAGAUACCCUGGUAGUCCACGCCCUAAACGAUGAACACUCGCUGUU